rnacentral:lncRNA from 1 species
AGAAGAAAAUCCUGAAAACCAUGUGGUGGAGCAAUCUUAUCUCUACACUCAAAUCCUUAGCUUCAAUUUUUAUAAACCCCUCCACAUCCUCUCUUCCUAAGAUGGUCCUGAGCCUGAUUUUUUUUUUUGGAAGCUCAUCAAGGCAACUACCUUCACAGGAUAUCUGAACAAGUCUAUCCAACCUAGAAGCAUUUAGUAUAAUUUGAACACCCU